CUUAACCAUAUUUUACUCCUGAGGAGCAAAGGAUGAAGGGCCUAGAGUGAGCCAUCAGAAGUAGUCCCUUGGUGCUUUUGUCUACCGGUGGUCAGCCUGAAAAUGCCCUCACGAACAGAAUAUCUGAGGUCAAGGAAACAAAGGUUCUUCUCCAGCCUGUGAACCUCAUAUAACCACAUAUGCAUAUGCAUGGGCACACAUCUGUCCUGAUGAGUAUACUAUGCCAGGACUCGCGUUGCAUAAAAAGGAGACAACGCAUCCCUUCCAACCUUCAUUCAAGCUUAGGAUUUGAAAACAAAAUAAAGCCCUCACCCAGUGGCUGAAGGAAGCAGAGACAGACAUCCACAGAUAUACACUGAGCUGAAAUCAGGAAUUUAGUUGAAGAGAGGGAGGAAUGAAGAACGAAAGGGUCUGUACCAGGUUGGAGAAACCCACAGGAACAGUUGACCUGAACAAGGGAGAGCACAUCGACCCCAGAUGCUGUCGGGGAGGCCAGUACAAGACUGAUCCAGACCCCUGAACAUGGAUGUCAAUAAGGAGGCCUCUGCACUCCAGGGAGCCUCUGGUGGUGGAUUAGUAUUUUUCCCUGGUGCAAGAAGGGACUUUGAGAGCCCAUCCCACGUGAAGGGAUACACUCUGGCCCUGGACACAUGGGGAAGGGCCCAGGCCCAGCCCAGGAAGAUUUGGUGGACUUUGCAGAGCCCCUGUUGAGGGCCCUACCCUGCCUGGGGAGUGGUGG
rnacentral:lncRNA from 1 species